rnacentral:rRNA from 1 species
UACGAAGGGGGCUAGCGUUGCUCGGAAUCACUGGGCGUAAAGGGCGCGUAGGCGGCCUGCUAAGUCGGACGUGAAAUCCCUCGGCUCAACCGAGGAACUGCGUCCGAUACUGGUGGGCUUGAAUCCGGGAGAGGGAUGUGGAAUUCCAGGUGUAGCGGUGAAAUGCGUAGAUAUCUGGAGGAACACCGGUGGCGAAGGCGGCAUCCUGGACCGGUAUUGACGCUGAGGCGCGAAAGCUAGGGGAGCAAACGGG